rnacentral:rRNA from 1 species
UACAGAGGUCUCAAGCGUUGUUCGGAUUCAUUGGGCGUAAAGGGUGCGUAGGCGGCGCGGUAAGUCGGGUGUGAAAUCUCGGAGCUUAACUCCGAAACUGCAUUCGAUACUGCCGUGCUUGAGGACUGGAGAGGAGACUGGAAUUUACGGUGUAGCGGUGAAAUGCGCAGAUAUCAGGAGGAACACCGGUGGCGAAGGCGGGUCUCUGGGCCGAAACUGACGCUGAGGAGCGAAAGCGUGGGGAGCAAACAGG